rnacentral:rRNA from 1 species
GAUGAACGCUGGCGGCGUGCCUAAUACAUGCAAGUCGAGCGAACAGACGAGGAGCUUGCUCCUCUGACGUUAGCGGCGGACGGGUGAGUAACACGUGGAUAACCUACCUAUAAGACUGGGAUAACUUCGGGAAACCGGAUCUAAUACCGGAUAAUAUAUUGCACCGCAUUGUUCAAUAGUGAAAGACGGUUUUGCUUUCACUUAUAGAUGGAUCCGCGCCGCAUUAGCUAGUUGGUAAGGUAACGGCUUACCAAGGCAACGAUGCGUAGCCGACCUGAGAGGGUGAUCCGACACCCUGGAACUGAGACACGGUCCAGACUCCUACGGGAGGCAGCAGUAGGGAAUCUUCCGCAAUGGGCGAGAGCUUGACGGAGCAACGCCGCGUGAGUGAUGAAGGUCUUCGGAUCGUAAAACUCUGUUAUUAGGGAAGAACAAAUGUGUAAGUAACUAUGCACGUCUUGACGGUACCUAAUCAGAAAGCCACGGCUAACUACGUG